GGGAAAGGGGAGAGAGAGAGAGGGGGAAAGGGGAGAGAGAGAGAGAGACAUAGAGAGAGACACAGAGAGACACAGAGAGAAAGAGAGAGAGAGAGACACAGGGGGCGCGCGUGCACACGUAUGUACCUGCGAGCAUGCCCGUGUUCGGUGCUUCCCUGUCUGUGUGCCUGUGUGGCCAUGGGUACCCCGGGGUGGCUGUGGGCGUGGGUGUUGAGGACCCGGUCCUGUGAGCGCUCGCCCCACCGGUGCAAGCCCCCGGGCUUGUGGAAACAGAGGCGACAGCCUGUACCUAUAGAGGGCAAUCUCUCUUGUUGUGUUCCAGCCACUGGCAAUGGGAACCAAAGGAAACCAACGGGGGCACGAGUUGAGGAGGCUCCUACUGACUCAAGUUUACACUUCAGGAGCUUCCAUAAAGAGAACACCUGCCAGGAAUGAGUUCAUGACUCGCCUUCGUUGCAAAGUUAACUCCUGGAUCGUCUUUGCUUUUGUUUAUGUUCCCUUUUUGACAAUUGUUUGGAAGGACGUGAAGGAUCUCCACCACUGGUGGGAGAAGGGGACGAGGGGUACCUGAACCUCUAGUGCCUUCUCCUAGGCCUGCGCCCCCAUCCUCCUACGCCGCCCCCUCCCACGCAAAGAGCAGAAGGCAGAGGGUGGACCCUUAGGACACCAGGCCAGCUAAGGGUAGAAAGGAAAAGAGGGAAGCACUAGGUCACCACCACUUUCCAGUGCCGCCCUCAAUGCUGUGUUGGAUCCAGUGCAACGGCCCCGCACUGGGUCUUACAUCACACACACAGGAGUGACCAGGAGACACAACCUGCCUACAGAACUGAGGACGGACACGCCCACAGGCCACCCCUUGUCCAGGGGGUCCCUCCCGGGUGCCAUCGAGGGUUCUGAACCAACAGGAGUAGGACUGCGCGGCAUUCAGAGGGGAAAAGGAGAGGCGCGGCCACACCCUGACGCCGGGUUAUGUAACGGACACGUGGUGGGAAGUAGCAAACAGCCAGGGGCACGCACACAGGGCACAGAGAGGGUUAAGGGGACCCUGGGAACGGCAGCUUAAAAGGGGAAGGUGAGGGACAGGAGAGGGAUGAGAGAAUCCCCAGGUGACAAUUCGGGCAUGAUCCGGAGGGGAUGGGCCUGACUUCCCCAACCCACGCGGGUCAUUUUCACUUCCACUGGCAAAGUAAGCUUAUUGUCCCGGUGGAUGCCCCCAGGCACCCGGCCAAGCCUGCCUUCCGGGCCGGAGGGGCGUCCACACCUGGAGGACUGACAGUCAGGAAGUGAGUGAAAGUCAAGAGCUGACAGUGGACAGGACAAAUUGGAAGCGAAGGAAGGAUUGUAGCAGAGGUGAAAAAUGACUGAUCUCCAGUGCACCGUGUCCCAAGUGGGCCGGUGGAAGCAGCUGGCGCCCCCUAGGGGAAGAGCCACCGGCCAAGCCACUGGCAAUGGGAACCAAAGGAAACCAACGGGGGCACGAGUUGAGGAGGCUCCUACUGACUCAAGUUUACACUUCAGGAGCUUCCAUAAAGAGAACACCUGCCAGGAAUGAGUUCAUGACUCGCCUUCGUUGCAAAGUUAACUCCUGGAUCGUCUUUGCUUUUGUUUAUGUUCCCUUUUUGACAAUUGUUUGGAAGGACGUGAAGGAUCUCCACCACUGGUGGGAGAAGGGGACGAGGGGUACCUGAACCUCUAGUGCCUUCUCCUAGGCCUGCGCCCCCAUCCUCCUACGCCGCCCCCUCCCACGCAAAGAGCAGAAGGCAGAGGGUGGACCCUUAGGACACCAGGCCAGCUAAGGGUAGAAAGGAAAAGAGGGAAGCACUAGGUCACCACCACUUUCCAGUGCCGCCCUCAAUGCUGUGUUGGAUCCAGUGCAACGGCCCCGCACUGGGUCUUACAUCACACACACAGGAGUGACCAGGAGACACAACCUGCCUACAGAACUGAGGACGGACACGCCCACAGGCCACCCCUUGUCCAGGGGGUCCCUCCCGGGUGCCAUCGAGGGUUCUGAACCAACAGGAGUAGGACUGCGCGGCAUUCAGAGGGGAAAAGGAGAGGCGCGGCCACACCCUGACGCCGGGUUAUGUAACGGACACGUGGUGGGAAGUAGCAAACAGCCAGGGGCACGCACACAGGGCACAGAGAGGGUUAAGGGGACCCUGGGAACGGCAGCUUAAAAGGGGAAGGUGAGGGACAGGAGAGGGAUGAGAGAAUCCCCAGGUGACAAUUCGGGCAUGAUCCGGAGGGGAUGGGCCUGACUUCCCCAACCCACGCGGGUCAUUUUCACUUCCACUGGCAAAGUAAGCUUAUUGUCCCGGUGGAUGCCCCCAGGCACCCGGCCAAGCCUGCCUUCCGGGCCGGAGGGGCGUCCACACCUGGAGGACUGACAGUCAGGAAGUGAGUGAAAGUCAAGAGCUGACAGUGGACAGGACAAAUUGGAAGCGAAGGAAGGAUUGUAGCAGAGGUGAAAAAUGACUGAUCUCCAGUGCACCGUGUCCCAAGUGGGCCGGUGGAAGCAGCUGGCGCCCCCUAGGGGAAGAGCCACCGGCCAAGCCACUGGCAAUGGGAACCAAAGGAAACCAACGGGGGCACGAGUUGAGGAGGCUCCUACUGACUCAAGUUUACACUUCAGGAGCUUCCAUAAAGAGAACACCUGCCAGGAAUGAGUUCAUGACUCGCCUUCGUUGCAAAGUUAACUCCUGGAUCGUCUUUGCUUUUGUUUAUGUUCCCUUUUUGACAAUUGUUUGGAAGGACGUGAAGGAUCUCCACCACUGGUGGGAGAAGGGGACGAGGGGUACCUGAACCUCUAGUGCCUUCUCCUAGGCCUGCGCCCCCAUCCUCCUACGCCGCCCCCUCCCACGCAAAGAGCAGAAGGCAGAGGGUGGACCCUUAGGACACCAGGCCAGCUAAGGGUAGAAAGGAAAAGAGGGAAGCACUAGGUCACCACCACUUUCCAGUGCCGCCCUCAAUGCUGUGUUGGAUCCAGUGCAACGGCCCCGCACUGGGUCUUACAUCACACACACAGGAGUGACCAGGAGACACAACCUGCCUACAGAACUGAGGACGGACACGCCCACAGGCCACCCCUUGUCCAGGGGGUCCCUCCCGGGUGCCAUCGAGGGUUCUGAACCAACAGGAGUAGGACUGCGCGGCAUUCAGAGGGGAAAAGGAGAGGCGCGGCCACACCCUGACGCCGGGUUAUGUAACGGACACGUGGUGGGAAGUAGCAAACAGCCAGGGGCACGCACACAGGGCACAGAGAGGGUUAAGGGGACCCUGGGAACGGCAGCUUAAAAGGGGAAGGUGAGGGACAGGAGAGGGAUGAGAGAAUCCCCAGGUGACAAUUCGGGCAUGAUCCGGAGGGGAUGGGCCUGACUUCCCCAACCCACGCGGGUCAUUUUCACUUCCACUGGCAAAGUAAGCUUAUUGUCCCGGUGGAUGCCCCCAGGCACCCGGCCAAGCCUGCCUUCCGGGCCGGAGGGGCGUCCACACCUGGAGGACUGACAGUCAGGAAGUGAGUGAAAGUCAAGAGCUGACAGUGGACAGGACAAAUUGGAAGCGAAGGAAGGAUUGUAGCAGAGGUGAAAAAUGACUGAUCUCCAGUGCACCGUGUCCCAAGUGGGCCGGUGGAAGCAGCUGGCGCCCCCUAGGGGAAGAGCCACCGGCCAAGCCACUGGCAAUGGGAACCAAAGGAAACCAACGGGGGCACGAGUUGAGGAGGCUCCUACUGACUCAAGUUUACACUUCAGGAGCUUCCAUAAAGAGAACACCUGCCAGGAAUGAGUUCAUGACUCGCCUUCGUUGCAAAGUUAACUCCUGGAUCGUCUUUGCUUUUGUUUAUGUUCCCUUUUUGACAAUUGUUUGGAAGGACGUGAAGGAUCUCCACCACUGGUGGGAGAAGGGGACGAGGGGUACCUGAACCUCUAGUGCCUUCUCCUAGGCCUGCGCCCCCAUCCUCCUACGCCGCCCCCUCCCACGCAAAGAGCAGAAGGCAGAGGGUGGACCCUUAGGACACCAGGCCAGCUAAGGGUAGAAAGGAAAAGAGGGAAGCACUAGGUCACCACCACUUUCCAGUGCCGCCCUCAAUGCUGUGUUGGAUCCAGUGCAACGGCCCCGCACUGGGUCUUACAUCACACACACAGGAGUGACCAGGAGACACAACCUGCCUACAGAACUGAGGACGGACACGCCCACAGGCCACCCCUUGUCCAGGGGGUCCCUCCCGGGUGCCAUCGAGGGUUCUGAACCAACAGGAGUAGGACUGCGCGGCAUUCAGAGGGGAAAAGGAGAGGCGCGGCCACACCCUGACGCCGGGUUAUGUAACGGACACGUGGUGGGAAGUAGCAAACAGCCAGGGGCACGCACACAGGGCACAGAGAGGGUUAAGGGGACCCUGGGAACGGCAGCUUAAAAGGGGAAGGUGAGGGACAGGAGAGGGAUGAGAGAAUCCCCAGGUGACAAUUCGGGCAUGAUCCGGAGGGGAUGGGCCUGACUUCCCCAACCCACGCGGGUCAUUUUCACUUCCACUGGCAAAGUAAGCUUAUUGUCCCGGUGGAUGCCCCCAGGCACCCGGCCAAGCCUGCCUUCCGGGCCGGAGGGGCGUCCACACCUGGAGGACUGACAGUCAGGAAGUGAGUGAAAGUCAAGAGCUGACAGUGGACAGGACAAAUUGGAAGCGAAGGAAGGAUUGUAGCAGAGGUGAAAAAUGACUGAUCUCCAGUGCACCGUGUCCCAAGUGGGCCGGUGGAAGCAGCUGGCGCCCCCUAGGGGAAGAGCCACCGGCCAAGCCACUGGCAAUGGGAACCAAAGGAAACCAACGGGGGCACGAGUUGAGGAGGCUCCUACUGACUCAAGUUUACACUUCAGGAGCUUCCAUAAAGAGAACACCUGCCAGGAAUGAGUUCAUGACUCGCCUUCGUUGCAAAGUUAACUCCUGGAUCGUCUUUGCUUUUGUUUAUGUUCCCUUUUUGACAAUUGUUUGGAAGGACGUGAAGGAUCUCCACCACUGGUGGGAGAAGGGGACGAGGGGUACCUGAACCUCUAGUGCCUUCUCCUAGGCCUGCGCCCCCAUCCUCCUACGCCGCCCCCUCCCACGCAAAGAGCAGAAGGCAGAGGGUGGACCCUUAGGACACCAGGCCAGCUAAGGGUAGAAAGGAAAAGAGGGAAGCACUAGGUCACCACCACUUUCCAGUGCCGCCCUCAAUGCUGUGUUGGAUCCAGUGCAACGGCCCCGCACUGGGUCUUACAUCACACACACAGGAGUGACCAGGAGACACAACCUGCCUACAGAACUGAGGACGGACACGCCCACAGGCCACCCCUUGUCCAGGGGGUCCCUCCCGGGUGCCAUCGAGGGUUCUGAACCAACAGGAGUAGGACUGCGCGGCAUUCAGAGGGGAAAAGGAGAGGCGCGGCCACACCCUGACGCCGGGUUAUGUAACGGACACGUGGUGGGAAGUAGCAAACAGCCAGGGGCACGCACACAGGGCACAGAGAGGGUUAAGGGGACCCUGGGAACGGCAGCUUAAAAGGGGAAGGUGAGGGACAGGAGAGGGAUGAGAGAAUCCCCAGGUGACAAUUCGGGCAUGAUCCGGAGGGGAUGGGCCUGACUUCCCCAACCCACGCGGGUCAUUUUCACUUCCACUGGCAAAGUAAGCUUAUUGUCCCGGUGGAUGCCCCCAGGCACCCGGCCAAGCCUGCCUUCCGGGCCGGAGGGGCGUCCACACCUGGAGGACUGACAGUCAGGAAGUGAGUGAAAGUCAAGAGCUGACAGUGGACAGGACAAAUUGGAAGCGAAGGAAGGAUUGUAGCAGAGGUGAAAAAUGACUGAUCUCCAGUGCACCGUGUCCCAAGUGGGCCGGUGGAAGCAGCUGGCGCCCCCUAGGGGAAGAGCCACCGGCCAAGCCACUGGCAAUGGGAACCAAAGGAAACCAACGGGGGCACGAGUUGAGGAGGCUCCUACUGACUCAAGUUUACACUUCAGGAGCUUCCAUAAAGAGAACACCUGCCAGGAAUGAGUUCAUGACUCGCCUUCGUUGCAAAGUUAACUCCUGGAUCGUCUUUGCUUUUGUUUAUGUUCCCUUUUUGACAAUUGUUUGGAAGGACGUGAAGGAUCUCCACCACUGGUGGGAGAAGGGGACGAGGGGUACCUGAACCUCUAGUGCCUUCUCCUAGGCCUGCGCCCCCAUCCUCCUACGCCGCCCCCUCCCACGCAAAGAGCAGAAGGCAGAGGGUGGACCCUUAGGACACCAGGCCAGCUAAGGGUAGAAAGGAAAAGAGGGAAGCACUAGGUCACCACCACUUUCCAGUGCCGCCCUCAAUGCUGUGUUGGAUCCAGUGCAACGGCCCCGCACUGGGUCUUACAUCACACACACAGGAGUGACCAGGAGACACAACCUGCCUACAGAACUGAGGACGGACACGCCCACAGGCCACCCCUUGUCCAGGGGGUCCCUCCCGGGUGCCAUCGAGGGUUCUGAACCAACAGGAGUAGGACUGCGCGGCAUUCAGAGGGGAAAAGGAGAGGCGCGGCCACACCCUGACGCCGGGUUAUGUAACGGACACGUGGUGGGAAGUAGCAAACAGCCAGGGGCACGCACACAGGGCACAGAGAGGGUUAAGGGGACCCUGGGAACGGCAGCUUAAAAGGGGAAGGUGAGGGACAGGAGAGGGAUGAGAGAAUCCCCAGGUGACAAUUCGGGCAUGAUCCGGAGGGGAUGGGCCUGACUUCCCCAACCCACGCGGGUCAUUUUCACUUCCACUGGCAAAGUAAGCUUAUUGUCCCGGUGGAUGCCCCCAGGCACCCGGCCAAGCCUGCCUUCCGGGCCGGAGGGGCGUCCACACCUGGAGGACUGACAGUCAGGAAGUGAGUGAAAGUCAAGAGCUGACAGUGGACAGGACAAAUUGGAAGCGAAGGAAGGAUUGUAGCAGAGGUGAAAAAUGACUGAUCUCCAGUGCACCGUGUCCCAAGUGGGCCGGUGGAAGCAGCUGGCGCCCCCUAGGGGAAGAGCCACCGGCCAAGGUAAGGUCUCAGUCACUUAGACAAGGGGUCGAACCCUGACCAGAGCAAGGCCUCUUUUGCCAUGCAGUAGCGCCCAACUGGGAAGGGCGCAGACAAGCAGAAAGGGGCAAGGAGGAAGCACAGGGUAACAAGCAAGGACGGGCAACCAUCUCGUGCACUGAGGCCGGUAGGAAGAAGAGGCCGUGCGCUGGUGUGGGGGCCGCUGCGGAUGUCUUUACCUGAAUCGGAUUCCCUGACUUCUCUGUCCCAGUCCGAGUGUGUGUGUGUGCGCGUGUGCGUGGGCAUUAGGAGCCCCGGUUCAGGAAUGUAAGCGCGGGCCGAUGCAGGGGAAGGUGUGAAACGAUGCAUGGGAAGGGUGAACAAAUAACCACCGCCUGAUACCGAGAAUGGGGAUUCAAGCACUUUGCUGGUCCUGACCCACGCCCUCCGUUCUUCCUGCCUGGUCCCCAACUACGUGUCAGAUGAGCCCUCAUGCUUAAUGUCCGGGAAAAAUGCACCUCAGGCCCUCCCCGACAGGACAGCGCUGACUUUUCUUUUCGUGGGUUGCGUUCGGCCUGUUUGUCUGUCUGUCUGUUUGUUUUUCCCUCACCAAUCAAAAAUGCCAGCCUACUUCCUGGGAUAGCUUGGCCUGGAAGAUUGUGCGGAACAGCCAGUCCUCAAUGCUGACUCAAGCUGCUUCUGAGUGUGGGAAAGGCCCCUGGGAUCUGGAUGUUUGUUCCUCUGAAGCUCCAUUCCAUUCGGUCUACACACCUAGGAAGACCCCUUUAAGGAACAAAGAAAGCCUGAAGAAACUGGACAGGGCCUUAGGAAAUCCUUCCACAUGUCUCCGGUCUCGGUCUCGGUCUCGGUCUCGGUCUCGGUCUCGGUCACGGGCUCGGUCCUCUCUCUCCCCGUCUUAUCUGUCUCUCUCUCUCUGUCUGUCUAGUCUCUCUCUCCUCUCUCCUCUCUCUCUCUCUCUUUCUCCCUCUCUCUCUCUGUCUCUCUGUCUCUGUCUCUGUCUCCCUCUCUAAUGCUGGGAAGCAGGGGCUUGACACCCUUAAACAGUCACAACCACGGUGACCACCGCUUUCCCUUGCAUCUGGGGACAGUAUAGGCUGCCUGCAGCUUCGGUACACUGAGAAUGCUGCCCACCAGGCCGGUGAACCAGUAAACAAAGUUUGUUGCCAGCCAUCAGUCUUCAGCCACUCAGACUGCCCCCCAGCCCCAAGAGUGCCCACUGACAGGAAUUCAGGAGGGGGAAAAACAGGAUCCUGGCCCUGCAGAGUUAAUACACACACGGAGGAAUAAUGUCAAUGAGCCCGCACUCUUGCAUCUUCCCCUAUACAGAGAAGCGCUAAAAAUCAGUAACUAGAGACGGCUGACUUGUGUGGUUACCAGUGAUCUUCAGAUGCUCCACUCUAGGUUCUUUUGUUCUCUCUCUCUCUCUCUCUCUCUCUGUCUGUCUGUCUGUCUGUCUGUCUCUCUCUCUCUCUUCCCACCCCGCCUUCUUUUCCACAAAAACUCCUGUGAAUGCUGUCUGCUGGCUCCCAUAGCUCUUCAGAACUUCUCCUCAGAGCUACCUGAGAGGUUGUCUCCCUGGCCAGAGUUCUCAGUAAGGUCUCGGAAUAAAACAAAAAAGAAAACCCUCAACUUUGAGGUUGUGCCUUUAUCUUCUGUCCACACACCCGAACUUGCUCUGUAUCAAGGCCCCU